UGUUUCUUAAACUCCUCAUAUGAGUGAAAUCAUGUGGUUAUAUUGCUCUCUUGUAUAACUAGAGAGGGUACAGAGAAAACAACUGGGAUAGAGAGACUCGCUAGGUGCCUGGCAACACAUAGGAAAGGAAUUUGAGGAGAAAUCAUCUAAGUCUGCAAGUACAGCCUCAAACUGACCCAGGUGCCUAAAAAGUACCUACGUGCCUGGUAGUUAAUUCCCCCACGAAUGCCAGGCACUGUGCUGUCUGCACUCAGCAUAGAGACUGCUAGGUGGUAGCCACUUUCAGAGGCCAUGGCUUUGACUCAGUGUUGGUGAGAGGAAGCAGCCCAUGGGCUCCUGCAGCCUGAUGGGUUACCUGGGAACAACUGUUCGAUUAUAAACUCACAUAGGCUCAGCAAGCAUGCUGAAGGCCUAUGUUAUUUUAUUAAAGGAAGUUGCACUGAACAAGUUCUAUGUGACCACUGCUUUAAGGGAACUUAGAGAAAAGAGGAAGGUGAUGUCAUAAAUAAUAAGUUCCAAAAGACAUAUGAUUUAGGAAAGAACUUGGUUUCUGGCUUCUGCCCAAAUGUAGAAAUCUGCCAGGAAAUGCUACCACCACAGCAUAGGAAAAGGCUGAAUAAAUCAACAAAAACAUAACUUCUUGGACCCAUCAGAGACCUGAGGUCACAGACAAACCACUAUCCAGAAAUCUAGACGAGAGAUGGAUCGGCACACUGACUCACCUGUAAGCACAGGAUGAAGACAGUGCCACCAGACAAGAGGUGGAGAUUUCUGCUAGAAGUUUUAGCUAAUUGCUAAAGACCAGGGUUUUUGCAGAUGUGAUUGGCUAAGAGGAAGUCACAGUGGAGAGGAGUGGGCCCCAAACCCAUUAUGACUGGUGUCCUAAGAAGAGGACAAAAGAAAGAAGCAGGGACACUUGAUGUGAUGUGAUGACACAGGCAAAGACCACAGUGAUGUAGCUACAAGCCGAGAACACCAGGAAUUGCCAGGAAGGAGCCUCCCCACAAGCUUCAAAGGAAGCACGGCCCUGCCAAUACCCUGACUGGAAACUUGUGGCCUCCAGAAAUGUUCGUAUUUUCUGCCACCCUCAUGGGAUGGAAGCUUUGGAAGAACAAGCCUGGGUUCCCUUUCCUUUUACACCCCUUCCCGACACUGUGCUUGGCACAUGAAUGCUCUGGAAUGUCUGGCAAAUGAAAGCAUACAGGACUCAGCAAAUUAUCUCAACUCAACCUCCUGCGUGUGUCUUAAAUCAUUCCCCAAUUCCCCACAGUGUAGACAAGAAUUAACACAAUAGGCCUGACUGCUGGCCCUUGGGAACAUGGAUUUCCAGAGGGUUCCCCCACCCUAACUGGUAAGAGGGGCUCACUCUGCUUAAACUGUUUCUACAAACACUGGUUUGUGUUGAACGCCUGCUUCCCUUCCAGGAGUCCGGCACCUGCCGACAGGAGUCAGGUUCAUGCUGGGCAGGGGGCGCCGACACGACCAGCCCCGAGUGAAAAACCUGGGCACCGAGUCUCUACUGAGCUUCCCUGAUAGACAUCACCUCACAUGUGUUGUCACAGCUUGUUGCUGGGGGUAUUAAGCAUGUCCUGUGUGACUCCACUGGCAGAGGCUUCCAGAAGUCGUUUCUGGACCCCCCCAGACUUCAGCUAAGGCUCCAGUUCUGUGCCCCCUCACCGUGAUAAACCACCACCAUGAGUACGACUGUGGGCCAAGGGGGGAGUCCUAGCGAAUGGCCACAACCAGGAGUGGUCUCGGGGACCCCGCCACACCCACUCCGCACUCACCACUGGUCUAGGCCACUACCAUCCCAUUCCUCACGGCCUCCACCCACCGCUUGGAUCCUCCCGGAGGCCCUGCCACCUCCCAGGUGCUGGAGAGUUCGGCUAAAACCACAGAUGCGUGGCACCUGUCACCCAAACACAUGCCUGGCUCCUGGCAGCCUGAGCCCACGGCCGGGAUCUCCUCCCAUGCUUCCAGGCCCUGAACGAUCCGGAGCCCAGCCUUCUCCAGUCAGCUCACACCACUCUCCCCCUCCCUCUGCUCCCUUCACAAGGAUCUCGGUCAGCUCUGCUGUAUAACAAAAUCCCAGAGACGAGGCGGCUUGAACAGUAGGAAUUUACUUCCUCACAGUUCUGGAGGCUGGAAGUCUGAAAGCGGGAAGCCAACGUGGUUGGGCUAGUGAGAGCAGCCUUCCCCGAGAGAGCUCUGGUGUCCCUCCUUCUUAUAAGGACACCCGUUCUAUGGUAUUGGGGCUCCAUCCUUAUGACCUCAUGCAACCUUAACCACUUUCUUAAAGGCUCAGCUUCCAUCCAAUGUGGUCACAUGGGAGGUUAGGACUUCAGCACAUGAUCUUGGGGUAUAGGGAGGUAGGGACCAGCCACAGCUUCUGGAGACAUUUUCAGCUGUCAUGACUAGGGGCAUGGGCUUAAUUGUGUCCCUUUAAAAACUCAU